rnacentral:lncRNA from 1 species
UGCGUAACAUGCUUGAUAUGCUGUGUGACUAUCCUCGGAAGUUUCUACUGCACUAACGCAUAACCCCCGUUUUUCACAUAAGGACAAAAAACUUAGGAUUUCAAUGGAUGUUUAAAAAUGUCUUUUAAAGUAUACAAUUGAAACUGGUUCAUUGUUUAAAAAUCAGGAUAAAUAAGCAAAAAGAAAAUAAUAAAAUCUCAGCAUUUAUUUUUGAUAUUAUAGUAUAUACCCUUUUGGCUUUAUACCAGAAAAUCUGUACUUUUUUUUAAAAAGAUCAUAUUAUAGGAGUCAUACUGCAGCCUUUUUAUUUGCUUUUUUACCACUCCCCAGUAUGUAC